CCAAAUCGCAAAAUCCCUAAUUCCCCAAAUCGCAAAUCCGAAACCCAAAGGUAUAAGCAGCGACGCUGCCACCGUCACCGUCGGCUAGCACCCACUGUCAGUCCGUCACCGUCGCCCCUCGGCACUCGGCAGUCGGCAUCAUCUCUUCUCGUUUGCAUUUGCUGACUCAGUUUUGCUCAGUUGCGGCUGUGACGGGAGUCGUUGGUGCAGCGGCAGCAGCGCAGUGCAGCCCCCUCCGGC
rnacentral:lncRNA from 1 species